AAAUAUUGUAAAUUAUAGUUAUUUGGCUCACGGAGGAAGUAAACAGUUUUAUGCUUCUUCCUUUAAAAUGGACUUUCCACAAUGAGGGAAAUAUUGGCAGAAACGUGCGAUGCUUUUUGGGAGGUACUUGGGCCAAUUUAUUUGUCGAUUCCUAAGAAGGAUGAGCGUAUGGAAGCGUAUCGCAAUCGAUUUUAAUUCCAUGUGGAAUUUACCCAAUUGUAUUGGUGCAAUUGAUGGCAAGCACAUAAACAUAUUUUGCCCAUCAAACUCUGGUUCCGCUUUUUAUAAUCCAUUCCAUUUCUGCUGGCGGUGUGUGAUGCAAAUUAUACUUUCACUUGCAUUGAUAUUGGAGCUUACGCCUCGCAAAGUGAUGGUGUCAUUUUAUGGAAUUCUGGCUUUGGGACACAGCUCUGUAGUGGAAAACUGGAUCUUCCUGAAAACGGUGUGCUACCAGACUAUGACUUUUCCCCAUUAUUUUGUUGGAGAUAAUGCGUUCCCGUUAAAGCCAUUUUUAAUGAGGAACCAACUUAUCUCUGGAGAGGCAAAUUUUUAACAAACGUUUAUCUCGAGCACGCUGUGUUAUAGAAAAUGCAUUUGGGAUUUUGGCUUGUCGAUGGAGAAUCCUUUUAAAUCCCUUACAAAUGAGCCCUUCAUCAGCCGAGAAAAUUGUAAAGGCUGCUGUGCUAAUACACAAUUUUCUCAAGAUGCACGAUGGUAGCUAUUCCCCGCCGGAAUAUGUUGACCAGGAGGACGGCGACUCUAUCAGAAGAGGAUUGUGGCGGAGUGAUAUUUCGAUCCCCUUGCAAAGAGCUAGGCGUAUAGGUUCGAACAAUGCUUUACAAAAUGCGUUUAAGUUAACAGCUGAUCUGAAGAGUUACCUUGUAUCCCAUCCAAUUCAAAGGAUGGCACAAUAAAGAAAAAGCCUCAAGAGGGCCAAGAUGAUUUUGCCAAGCGGAGACGCAAAACAUGAUGGCAUGCAAGGACAAAAACAAUACAAAUCAAAGAUUCAAACAGUAUACAAAAUCACCGAAAGUUCACCGAAUUUUCAUUAAAAGUUUAAAUUUUUUAAUAAAAAAUGUCUGGUAUGCAGUUUCAUAGCCCAUACAAUUUUAGUACAAUAAUGUGCAAAUUUGAAGUGGCUAAAGACUAUCGAGUGUUGCGCAUUUCCUCCAUGAACGAAAUGAAAAAACUAAAAAAUCAACGGUAAUCUUUAGCUAAUUGAAACUUGCACUUUAUUAUACUAG